rnacentral:piRNA from 1 species
UGCCAACCUCACUUUCUGUCACCCUGGC